rnacentral:rRNA from 1 species
GAAUCUGCCCUCAGGAGGGGGAUAACGGUUGGAAACGACCGCUAAUACCCCAUAUGCCGAGAGGUGAAACGAAAUUCGCCUGAGGAUGAGCUCGCGUCUGAUUAGCUAGUUGGUAAGGUAAUGGCUUACCAAGGCAUUGAUCAGUAGCUGGUCUGAGAGGAUGAUCAGCCACACUGGGACUGAGACGCGGCCCAGACUCCUACGGGAGGCAGCAGUGGGGAAUUUUCCGCAAUGGGCGCAAGCCUGACGGAGCAACGCCGCGUGAGGGAUGAAGGCCUCUGGGCUGUAAACCUCUUUUAUCAAGGAAGAAGAACUGACGGUACUUGAUGAAUAAGCCACGGCUAAUUCCGUGCCAGCAGCCGCGGUAAUACGGGAGUGGCAAGCGUUAUCCGGAAUUAUUGGGCGUAAAGCGUCCGCAGGCGGUUUUACAAGUCUGUCGUUAAAGCGUGGAGCUCAACUCCAUUUCAGCGAUGGAAACUGUAAGACUCGAGUGUGGUAGGGGCAGAGGGAAUUCCCGGUGUAGCGGUGAAAUGCGUAGAUAUCGGGAAGAACACCAGUGGCGAAAGCACUCUGCUGGGCCAUAACUGACACUGAGAGACGAAAGCGAGGGGAGCA